GAUUGUUCUAUUGAAAAGGUGAUAGUUCGCGUUCCCGGUGUGAUAACAAGAAGAAGCACGUAUUUGAAAUCGAAGGAAAUCGAGGUUGAGCGGCGAUGGGC